AACGAACGCUGGCGGCAGGCCUAACACAUGCAAGUCGAGCGAGGACUUCGGUCCUAGCGGCGGACGGGUGAGUAACGCGUGGGAACGUGCCCUUUGCUUCGGAAUAGCCCUGGGAAACUGGGAGUAAUACCGGAUGAGCCCUUUGGGGGAAAGAUUUAUCGGCGAAGGAUCGGCCCGCGUUGGAUUAGGUAGUUGGUGGGGUAAUGGCCUACCAAGCCGACGAUCCAUAGCUGGUUUGAGAGGAUGAUCAGCCACACUGGGACUGAGACACGGCCCAGACUCCUACGGAGGGCAGCAGUGGGGAAUCUUAAACAAUGGGGAAACCCUGAUCUAGCCAUGCCGCGUGAGCGAUGAAGGCCUUAGGGUUGUAAAGCUCUUUCAGCUGGGAAGAUAAUGACGGUACCAGCAGAAGAAGCCCCGGCUAACUCCGUG
rnacentral:rRNA from 1 species